CUACGGGACGCUCCAGUGAGGAAUAUUGCACAAUGGGGGGAACCCUGAUGCAGCAACGCCGCGUGGAGGAUGACGCAUUUCGGUGUGUAAACUCCUUUUAUAUGUCAAGAAAAUGACGGUAGCAUAUGAAUAAGCACCGGCUAACUCCGUGCCAGCAGCCGCGGUAAUACGGAGGGUGCAAGCGUUACUCGGAAUCACUGGGCGUAAAGGACGCGUAGGCGGGUUGGAAAGUCAGGUGUGAAAUCCUACAGCUUAACUGUAGAACUGCACUUGAAACUUCUAAUCUAGAGUAUGGGAGGGGGAGAUGGAAUUAGUGGUGUAGGGGUAAUAUCCGUAGAUAUCACUAGGAAUACCUAAUGCGAAGGCGAUCUCCUGGAACAUUACUGACGCUAAGGCGUGAAAGCGUGGGGAGCAAACAGGAUUAGAUACCCUUGUAGUC
rnacentral:rRNA from 1 species